UUCUAGUCCCUGCUCAUGAAAGACCUCCGAAGGGAGACCCUUACUCAAGUCUCGGGAUAAUAGCAGACCCCCAAGAACUCACGAGAGACC
rnacentral:pre_miRNA from 7 species